GGCCUGCAGCCCGCCGCGGCGCGUAGCCAAUCCGCGACCAGCACCACGCGGCUUCAGCCUAUCAGCGAGUAGGAAUCCCCAGAGCAGGCAUCAGUAGCGGAAAGCCCAUCUACAGCGCCGCAGACAGACGCCAGAGUGGGCGGGGCGGGGUCCACCACCUCGCUAAGGGCCAGCUUUGGAAGGCCGGCGCGUAGGGUUAAGAAUGAGACCUGUGUAGUUAAUCGUCUACUGACGCCUCCCUUGGGAUGAAUCCAGAACUUUCUCUCAAGAUUCAACUCCCUCAGCCCAGGUGCUGUCUACUUCUCAACUGUCACUACUACAUCCAUCCUUGGAUUUCCCUAAACCUGUCUCCGUGAGGCGACAGCCACUAGAAACAGUUCCAGGAAAGCCUUAAGAUCUGAAACUACAACUUCCAGAAUCCUUUGCGCGCGGCUAAGGGGCGGUGAUUCCGGAGCCGUCUCCCGCUAAGAGAUGGCUGAGUCCUCGGGUUCACCGCACCGCUUGUUGUACAAACAGGUGGGCUCGCCGCCCUGGAAAGAAGCUUUCAGGCAGGGAUGUCUCGAGAGAAUGAGAAACAGCCGGCACAGGCUCCUGAACAAGUACCGCCAGGCUGCAGGUGGCAACCCAGGGAGAGCCUCAGACAAGUUUCUUGUGCAAGAAGUGAUGGAGGAAGAGUGGCAUUCUUUGCAGUUGGUAGAGAAUUGUCCGGAGGCCUUGGUUCAGUUGGGAUUGCCAGAGGACCUAGCUGUGCUGCAGGACAUUGAACAGGAGCUGUGUGAUGAAGAAAAGUCCAUCAUAAGCGAGUAUGAGAAGAGUUUACAGUUUGAUGAAAAUUGUCUCAACGCCAUGUUGGCUGAGUGGGAAGCAAACCCCCUCAUCUGUCCUGUGUGUAUAAAGUACAACCUGAGAAUCAUGAACAGUGUGGUCACGUGUCCGUGUGGCCUGCACAUCCCACUUCACGUAAGUGUCCACACAGAUUCCCUAUAUACGCUGACUGUAUUAAAGAACCUCUGGUGGUGGUUCAGAAUUAGUUGUGCACCUCUGUGCCAGUUACUUAUUGUCACAGACAAGGCACCCAGCAGCAAUAACCCGAGAGGUUUAUUUUGGCUUAUGAUUUCAGAGGGGUCAGUGCAUCACGACAGGAAAAGUGAGGCAGAGUGCCUCCAUGGAGGUGAAAAGCAAGACUCCUCAGCAUUUUGGCUAAUAGGACACAAGAUCUGUUCCUAGUAGACCAUGUAUGUCCACCAGAUAAACUUCCUGUGCUUUACCUGCAUGUAUGCCUGUGCACCACGUGUGUGUCUGGAACCCUGGAAGUAAGAAGAGGGUGUUGGGUCCCCUGUAACUGGAAUUACACAUGGGUGUGAGCUGCCAUGGGGAUACUGUCAGCCCAGGUCCUCUAGAAGAUCAGCAAGUGCUCUUAACCACUCAUCCAUCUCUCCAGAUCCCCAUUUUUGAGGCAGAGUCUAGUAGUAGCCCAGGCUGGCCUCAAAUUCAACUGUAGCUCAACUUCUGAUCCUUCUGAUGUCACCUUCCAUUUGGUCUUUCUACUGUGCUGGGAACGAAGUACAUGACUCAUUCUUGCUAGGCAAGCCCUCUACCACCCAAGCUACAUCCCCAGCUCUACAGUCUAAGGCUCCGAAGAAUCAAACUGUUUUGAUUGGUGAUUUAGGUUUCUUUUAACCUGUUGGUUUUUCAGUAUUUAAGAUUAGUUGGGGCUGGAGAGAUGGUUCAACUGUUAAGAGCACUGACCGCUCUUACAGAGGACUGAGGUUCAAUUUCAGUACCCACAUGGGCAGCUCACAACUGUCUGUAACUCCAGGAUCCACCACCCUCACACACAAAAUACCUACAGGCAAAACACCAAAAAAAAAAAAAUUAACAAAAAGAUUAGUUGUGGUUGAACUUUCCCAGUCUCCAGAGCUGACGGAGCAGAAGCUGCGGGGCUGUUUGGAGGAUCAUGUAAACGAGCACAGUGCACACUGUCCCCACAUGCCUGAAUUUUCAGUCACCGGUGGACCAGAGGAAAAGCCGAGCCUUCUGAUGAGCUGCCUGGCAUGUGACACUUGGGCUGUGAUCUUCUAGCCAUCCUGGCCUCACCUUCACUGCUGGGCUGAGAACAACUCAUUCCCUCUGAGAGGGCCCCUGCAUGCACAAGCCUUUUGUAUAUAACUUAUUUUAUAUUAAAACUUUUCAAACAU